CGUGUAGGCGGAUGCGUAAGUCCGGUGUAAAAGCCCCCGGCUCAACCGGGGAACGCCAUCGGAUACUGCGUGUCUCGAGUGCGGGAGGGGAGAGUGGAACUCUUGGUGGAGCGGUGAAAUGCGUAGAUAUCAAGAGGAACGCCGGUGGCGAAAGCGGCUCUCUGGCCCGUGACUGACGCUGAGGCGCGAAAGCUAGGGGAGCAAACGGGAUUAGAUACCCCGGUAGUCCUAGCCCUAAACGAUGGGUACUAAGUAGGGGCGACUCCGAUGUUGUCUCUGCUGUAGCCAACGUGCUAAGUACCCCGCCUGGGGAGUACGGUCGCAAGGCUGAA
rnacentral:rRNA from 1 species